rnacentral:lncRNA from 1 species
GUGAUCAGAGAAGAUGUGACAUUGGUGUCUGGUGAAUAGAGACAGGAACAUAACCUCAAAAUGAUGAUCUUGUUUUUGUCAUUUUAAAAAAUGUAUCAAAAGUUUUUUUUUCAAUUACUAUAGUAAGGAAUAUAACAGCUGUAUUGUAGUUGAAGAUUUGACAUCGUCAAUUUAUAAUUUGAUGGUCCCAAUUGCAGUUUAUAUGGCAAUGCAUAGCGGAACCAUUAAAUCGGACAAUUGCGACCACCAAAGCCAAAUUGACGAGGACAACUCUUUCAACUGCAGUACGGUUAUUAUGAUUUUAAUGCAUACAAAAAAAGAAACUUAACGUAAGAAAUCAAGCAUAUCUAUAAAUUUGAAAUAAAAUAAAAUUUCACGAAAAUUCAUCAAUGAUUUUGGCACUUAAAAGUCAGGGCUAAAUGUGAAGUCAUUAAAAUGACAACUUUCAAACUUAAUGUUAUCACAUUACUUCUACAACUCAACUUGGAUUAAAUCACAUCAAAAC